CUAAACUGAAAAUUGUGUACUUUUAUAACUAUCUAGAAAAUCAUAUAAAAAAAAUGGGAAAUUCAACUCAGAAGAACCAACAUUUUAAAGGAUAGAUAAAUUGUCUUGUGUUCUGCAAAUAAAUAAAAAAAAAGUCUAAAAAUUGUAAUGAAAAAGCCAUAAAGAAAACGAGAUACACGACAAAACCAAUAUUUCAAGGGGACACUAAACUGAUUUGCAUUCAUUUAAAAUCAUUAUGUUUUAAAAUGGUCAAAAAAAUGCCAGCUAAGGAAAAUAUAUAACCAAGCAGCAACAAUUUUGAGGUAUAACUAAAUUGAAAAUUGUGUACUUUUAUAAUUGUCUAGAAAAUCAUAUAAAGAAACGAGAAAUAAAACUGAGACAAAGCAAUACUGUAAAGGAUAAAUAAAUUGUCUUGUGUUCUGUUUAUAAAAAUGUCUGAACGCUGUCUUGAAAAA